GGGAGGAAGACUUCUGAGCAGGCUUCUUCAUCAGAGCAGGGCUGUGAAUCUGCGAAGCCAGAAACUGAGUUUGCCUGUAACUAGAUGUGUUGGAUGAGGUCAUGGAGCAACCUUGGAGAUAGAAGCCACAUGCUAGGAUGGUGGGGCUGAAAAAUAGAGCUUGUUGCCUGAAGACCAUUACGUCUGCAUAUCAACCUUGAAUUGUCUCCUUUUGAGCUUCUUUCACACAAGAGAGAAAAUCCCCUGUAAAUUCUAAGAUCCUACGUUUUACCACAGGGGCAUCUACUGGCUAAUUCUGCAGUUUAGUAACCACAGGACUCUGGUCCAACUCAGCCAACAAACCACUUGGCACAUUUCAACCCUGGCCUGUUGUAAUCAUGGGGGAUAUUUUGGUUUUUCUCUCCUUCCAAAAGCUUGAGGAGAAUCACAAACAGGAAUACCAGACAAUUCCAAUAUAAGGAACCAAGGGAUGCAUAUCAC
rnacentral:lncRNA from 1 species